rfam:Picea glauca, whole genome shotgun sequence.
ACAUGCCUACAACAUAGCGCUAAUGCAUUGUAUCCCAUUAGAAAUAUGCAAUUAAGCAUGACCAGGAUAGAGUAGUACUGGGAUGGAUGACUGCCUGGGAAGUCCUAGUGUUUUACAUGCC